GAAUGCUAAUUAAAUUAGAACACAAAUAGUUAUUCUGGGAAGGAUAAAUUAGUCUAUAUGAAUUUUAUUAAUUAAAUUGAUUGUGACUUUAGCAAGUAUAGUCGUGAAAAUAGGGCAUCCUUUUUGUAAUACACCCUUGUGCCAUAUUUCGUAGGAAACAGAAGAAUUAAUGAACUAAUACAACCUAGCUGCUUUGAGUCUAAAAAUUAUUUAAGUAAAUUGGACCUAAUUUUAUUUUAAUUUUUUGCAUCUUUUACGUUGAAGUAGUAAGUAAAUUCUUGAGCACAG
rnacentral:misc_RNA from 1 species